rnacentral:piRNA from 1 species
CAACGAUCGAUCACUAACUGACCCA